rnacentral:tRNA from 1 species
GGCGGGAUAGCUCAGUCGGUUAGAGCGUCGGAUUCAUAACCCGGAGGUCCUGAGUUCAAUUCUCAGUCCCGCUACCA